UGUGCAUUUUUUUAGGUGUCACUGUGUAAUAGACUGUUUUCAUUGCUUUUAGCGGAGUCAUAUGUUGGCAGAGGAUUUAUCGAGAAAAACAUGAUCCGACAUGGACGUGGUAGAUAUGGCAGGGGUAGAAAGGCAUAUACUCAUUACUUUGUUGUUGUUAAAGAAGGUCUGCCGAAACCUAAAGACCAGCGACGAAGUAUUGAGGAAAAAACAGAGUUUGAACGUUAUGUGGAACAUCAACCAAAGAUAAUGGAUAGUCAUGCAUGGUGGUGAGCACUUGAAUACGGCAUCCUCAGUUAUUUGAAAUGAAUAUAUAUCAUAUAUUUGAGUUCAGUGUGGAUUUAUUUAUAAGAAUUUCGCUUGUGUCUGACAAAUGUCCGCUCAAGUGUGCAGUUGCUUGGACAUUGGCUAAACAUGGUCGGCCAUGCAGCUUUUCAAUAGUUACAUUACUUUGUUGUGCUGAUCACUUCCUGCAUUUCAAUAUUUACAAUUAUUUUGUUGUGCUGAUCACUUCCUGCAUGACCAAUCAUGACCAAUCAUACUUUUGGUAAGCAGUCCCAACGAUACAUGCAACUGAAAAUUUCUUGAUCCUUGUUGUUCCUAAAUUUUCUGCAUGGUGGUACAUAAAUUUGGUACUAUAACUUGUGCAUGGUACCAACCCUUGGUGUGUUUUGUGUUAUUUUUCUUGCAUGCUUUUUGAACUGGACUUCGUUUAGAUGAAAACUGCGUAUUUUAUCUGAUCGGUCAAUAUGUCCGUACAGAAUAAAAUUAAUCGGCCAUUCAGUGUUUUUGUUCGGCAAAUAGCCGAUUGCCGACCGUUAUAAUCCACACUGACUACAUUUCAUUUCAAACAGUGGCGGACACUUCACGAAGUAUUGGGAGGAGGGGAGGGGGCGAUAUUUUCGACAUGUAUGCCAAAGGGGUUUCGGUGUCUGUUUAAAGCUUUUGAAUAUUUCAGAACUUCUUCACUUGAUUAUUGUAUAUACGUUUGUAUACAUUAUUCUGCGCCGUUUGAGUCCAUCUCGUUCCCAGAGUAUGCCCGUUCGCAGGUUGGGUGCAUUGAACUAUAAAUAAACUGGAAGGCUAACUCAGGGGGGGAAAUUGAAGCCAGUGUAUUUUAGUUUUUCUGAGUUAUGAGCAGAAAUACUCAACACUGAACGUUGGGCAAUAUAUCAAAUUGAAGCUAUUGAAAAACGCUAUUUGGUGUAGAAAUUUCAAGACUUUAGCUAAAAGGGAAAUAUUGAAAAACUACAAACAUAAUUACCGAUAAUUUGCC